GUGCUUGCUUCAGCAGCACAUAUACUAAAAUUGGAACUAUACAGAGAAGAUCAGCAUGGUCCCUACACAAGGAUGACACACAACUUCAGGAGCGUUCCAUAUUUUGU
ensembl:snRNA U6 U6 spliceosomal RNA